GUAAAAAUGUGCAAAAACAGUUACGCCAAAUGUAAGUUACAUGGCAAAAGCAAGAAAGUGGAAACAAUAAAGGAAACUGAUCUUGCCAGUCAACAGCUUUCAAGGAAAAAAGCCCCCGGAGCUGACUCCAUUACCGCAGAGGUCUACAAAAAAGAUGGAUUAGCCCUGAUUGAAAUACUUCAUGAGCUGUGGUAACAAGGGUCACAUGUGCCAAAACCCAAAAGCAUUUGACACUGUUAGCAGAGAAGUACUCUAGAAGAUCAUGUCAAAGUAUGGAUGUCAAAAAAAAUCAUAUCCAUGGUCUUCUUAAGAUUGAUGAAUUUGACUAUUGAAAACAAGAGCGUCACUCAAAUGGAUGAUCAAAAUCUGGCCAUUUGUGUAGCUCCAAAUAUCUUUGCACUACCCAAAGGUUCAGAGACAGAUAUGACAA
rnacentral:sRNA from 1 species